rnacentral:rRNA from 1 species
CCUACGGGGGGCUGCAGUGAGGAAUAUUGGACAAUGGGGGCAACCCUGAUCCAGCCAUGCCGCGUGUGUGAAGAAGGCCCUCGGGUUGUAAAGCACUUUCAGUGAGGAAGAACGCCUGGUGGUUAAUACCCAUCAGGAAAGACAUCACUCACAGAAGAAGCACCGGCUAACUCCGUGCCAGCAGCCGCGGUAAUACGGAGGGUGCGAGCGUUAAUCGGAAUUACUGGGCGUAAAGCGCGCGUAGGUGGCUUGAUAAGCCGGUUGUGAAAGCCCCGGGCUCAACCUGGGAACGGCAUCCGGAACUGUCAAGCUAGAGUGCAGGAGAGGAAGGUAGAAUUCCCGGUGUAGCGGUGAAAUGCGUAGAGAUCGGGAGGAAUACCAGUGGCGAAGGCGGCCUUCUGGACUGACACUGACACUGAGGUGCGAAAGCGUGGGUAGCAAACAGGAUUAGAUACCCGAGUAGUC